rnacentral:rRNA from 1 species
CCACGGGUGGCAGCAGUGGGGAAUAUUGGACAAUGGGCGAAAGCCUGAUCCAGCCAUGCCGCGUGUGUGAAGAAGGCCUUCGGGGUGUAAAGCACUUUCAGUGGGGAAGAAAGCCUUGGGGCUAAUACCCUCGAGGAAGGACAUCACCCACAGAAGAAGCACCGGCUAACUCCGUGCCAGCAGCCGCGGUAAUACGGAGGGUGCGAGCGUUAAUCGGAAUUACUGGGCGUAAAGCGCGCGUAGGCGGUCUGAUAAGCCGGUUGUGAAAGCCCCGGGCUCAACCUGGGAACGGCAUCCGGAACUGUCAGGCUAGAGUGCAGGAGAGGAAGGUAGAAUUCCCGGUGUAGCGGUGAAAUGCGUAGGGAUCGGGAGGAAUACCAGUGGCGAAGGCGGCCUUCUGGACUGACACUGACGCUGAGGUGCGAAAGCGUGGGUAGCAAACAGGAUUAGAUACCCCAGUAGUC